rnacentral:rRNA from 1 species
UACGGAGGGUGCAAGCGUUAUCCGGAUUCACUGGGUUUAAAGGGUGCGUAGGUGGAUUAGUAAGUCAGUGGUGAAAUCUCCGGGCUUAACCCGGAAACUGCCAUUGAUACUAUUAGUCUUGAAUACCGUGGAGGUCAGCGGAAUAUGUCAUGUAGCGGUGAAAUGCUUAGAUAUGACAUAGAACACCAAUUGCGAAGGCAGCUGGCUACG